GAUGAACGCUGGCGGCGUGCCUAAUACAUGCCAGUCGAGCGAACGGACGAGAAGCUUGCUUUUCUGAUGUUAGCGGCGGACGGGUGAGUAACACGUGGAUAACCUACCUAUAAGACUGGGAUAACUUCGGGAAACCGGAGCUAAUACCGGAUAAUAUUUUGAACCGCAUGGUUCAAAAGUGAAAGACGGUCUUGCUGUCACUUAUAGAUGGAUCCGCGCUGCAUUAGCUAGUUGGUAAGGUAACGGCUUACCAAGGCAACGAUGCAUAGCCGACCUGAGAGGGUGGUCGGCCACACUGGAACUGAGACACGGUCCAGACUCCUACGGGAGGCAGCAGUAGGGAAUCUUCCGCAAUGGGCGAAAGCCUGACGGAGCAACGCCGCGUGAGUGAUGAAGGUCUUCGGAUCGUAAAACUCUGUUAUUAGGGAAGAACAUAUGUGUAAGUAACUGUGCACAUCUUGACGGUACCUAAUCAGAAAGCCACGGCUAACUACGUG
rnacentral:rRNA from 1 species